rnacentral:rRNA from 1 species
UACGGGGGGGGCAAGCGUUGUUCGGAAUUACUGGACGUAAAGGGCGCGUAGGCGGCCUUCUAAGUCGGACGUGAAAUCCCCGGGCUCAACCUGGGAACUGCAUCCGAAACUGCCUUGCUCGAGUAUGGGAGAGGGAAGUGGAAUUUCCGGUGUAGCGGUGAAAUGCGUAGAUAUCGGAAGGAACAUCAGUGGCGAAGGCGACUUCCUGGGCCAAUACUGACGCUCAGGUGCGAAAGCGUGGGGAGCAAACAGG